UGGGGAAUAUUGGACAAUGGGCGGAAGCCUGAUCCAGCAACGCCGCGUGAGGGAUGACGGCCUUCGGGUUGUAAACCUCUUUCAGCGGGGACGAAGCGCAAGUGACGGUACCCGCAGAAGAAGCACCGGCCAACUACGUGCCAGCAGCCGCGGUAAUACGUAGGGUGCGAGCGUUGUCCGGAAUUAUUGGGCGUAAAGGCUCGUAGGCGGUUUGUCGCGUCGGGAGUGAAAACGCCGGGCUUAACUCGGUGCUUGCUUUCGAUACGGGCAGACUAGAGGCAUGCAGGGGAGAACGGAAUUCCUGGUGUAGCGGUGAAAUGCGCAGGUAUCAGGAGGAACACCGGUGGCGAAGGCGGUUCUCUGGGCAUGUCCUGACGCUGAGGAGCGAAAGUGUGGGGAGCGAACAGGAUUAGAUACCCUGGUAGGUCCACACCGUAAAACGUUGGGCGCUAGGUGUGGGGAUCCAUUCCACGGGGUUUCCGUGCCGCAGCUAACGCAUUAAGCGCCCCGCCU
rnacentral:rRNA from 1 species